UACGAGAUCAGAACUUGGAUGAGGUA
rnacentral:sRNA from 1 species